UGUGUGUGUGUGUGUGUGUGUGUGUGGGCACACACACACACAGACACACACACGCACACACAGACACACACACA
rnacentral:miRNA from 1 species